rnacentral:rRNA from 1 species
GGAAUCUACCUGGUAGUGGGGGACAACUCGGGNAAACUCGAGCUAAUACCGCUUACGCCCUAAGGGGGAAAGCGGGGGACCUUCGGGCCUCGCGCUAUCAGAUGNNNNUGCGNGGGAUUAGCUAGUUGGUNGGGUAAUGGCCUACCAAGGCAACGAUCCAUAGCUGGUCUGAGAGGAUGAUCAGCCACACCGGGACUGAGACACGGCCCGGACUCCUACGGGAGGCAGCAGUGGGGAAUAUUGCGCAAUGGGCGAAAGCCUGACGCAGCCAUGCCGCGUGUGUGAAGAAGGCCCUCGGGUUGUAAAGCACUUUCAAUUGGGAGGAAAGAUUCAGGGCUAAUACCCGUGAAUUUUGACGUUACCUUUNNAAUAANNNCCGGCUAACUCCGUGCCAGCAGCCGCGGUAAUACGGAGGGUGCAAGCGUUAAUCGGAAUUACUGGGCGUAAAGCGCGCGCAGGUGGUUUGUUAAGUCGGAUGUGAAANCCCUGGGCUCAACCUGGGAACUGCAUCCGAUACUGGCAAACUGGAGUGCGGGAGAGGGAGGUAGAAUUCCACGUGUAGCGGUGAAAUGCGUAGAUAUGUGGAGGAAUACCAGUGGCGAAANGCGGCCUCCUGGCUC